UACGAAGGGGGCUAGCGUUGCUCGGAAUCACUGGGCGUAAAGCGCACGUAGGCGGGUUGUUAAGUCAGGGGUGAAAUCCUGGAGCUCAACUCCAGAACUGCCUUUGAUACUGGCAAUCUUCGAGUCCGGGAGAGGUGGGUGGAACUGCGAGUGUAGAGGUGAAAUUCGUAGAUAUUCGCAAGAACACCAGUGGCGAAGGCGGCUCACUGGCCCGGUACUGACGCUGAGGUGCGAAAGCGUGGGGAGCAAACAGG
rnacentral:rRNA from 1 species